AAUUUUGGACAAUGGGGGAAACCCUGAUCCAGCCAUCCCGCGUGUAUGAUUAAAGCCUCCGGGUUGUAAAGUACUUUUGGCAGAGAAGAAAAGAUAUCUCCUAAUACGAGAUACUGCUGACGGUGUCUGCAGAAUACUCACCGGCUAACUCCGCGCCAGCAGCCGAGGUAAUACGUAGGGUGCAAGCGUUAAUCGGAAUUAGUGGGCGUAAAGCGUGUGUAGGCGGUUCGGAAAGAAAGAUGUGAAAUCCCAGGGCUCAAACUUGGAACUGCAUUUUUAACUGCCGAGCUAGAGUAUGUCAGAGGGGGGUAGAAUUCCACGUGUAGCAGUGAAAUGCGUAGAUAUGUGGAGGAAUACCGAUGGCGAAGGCAGCCCCCUGGGAUAAUACUGACGCUCAGACACGAAAGCGUGGGGAGCAAACA
rnacentral:rRNA from 1 species